AGUAAAGUGCCUGAUUAAAGGGUUAUUGUGAUAGAAUAAAUUAUGUAAUUAUAAACUUACCUUUACUA
rnacentral:tRNA from 1 species